rnacentral:rRNA from 1 species
GAGUAAUGCUUGGGAAUCUGGCUUAUGGAGGGGGAUAACUACUGGAAACGGUAGCUAAUACCGCGUAAUAUCGAGAGAUUAAAGACUGGGACCUACGGGCCAGUUGCCAUAAGAUGAGCCCAAGUGGGAUUAGGUAGUUGGUGGGGUAAAGGCCUACCAAGCCUGCGAUCUCUAGCUGGUCUGAGAGGAUGACCAGCCACACUGGAACUGAGACACGGUCCAGACUCCUACGGGAGGCAGCAGUGGGGAAUAUUGCACAAUGGGGGGAACCCUGAUGCAGCCAUGCCGCGUGAAUGAAGAAGGCCUUCGGGUUGUAAAGUUCUUUCGGUGGUGAGGAAGGUAUCAACUUUAAUAGAGUUGGUAAUUGACGUUAUCCACAGAAGAAGCACCGGCUAACUCCGUGCCAGCAGCCGCGGUAAUACGGAGGGUGCGAGCGUUAAUCGGAAUGACUGGGCGUAAAGGGCACGCAGGCGGAUGCUUAAGU